AAUUAAGGCCUUUCCGAAAAGGGGAGAUUUAAAUACCCGCAUAAGAUUGUAGUACCGCAUGGUACAGCAAUUAAAGGAGCAAUCCGCUAUGAGAUUGGGCCCGCGGCGCAUUAGCUAGUUGGUGAGGUAACGGCUCACCAAGGCGACGAUGCGUAGCCGACCUGANAGGGUGAUCGGCCACAUUGGGACUGAGACACGGCCCAGACUCCUACGGGAGGCAGCAGUGGGGAAUAUUGCACAAUGGGGGAAACCCUGAUGCAGCAACGCCGCGUGAGUGAUGACGGCCUUCGGGUUGUAAAGCUCUGUCUUCAGGGACGAUAAUGACGGUACCUGAGGAGGAAGCCACGGCUAACUACGUG
rnacentral:rRNA from 1 species